CGGGUGAGGACCCUACGUGGGGCAGAAGGGCUUUGGCUGGAUGUGCGAGGGAACGUGUGGGCUGGUGGGACCAUCUUUUUUGUGAAUUCAGGGGCUCCUGGAGCAGGGCUUUGUCCCUGGGUGGGGAAGGUAGCUUCAGAGAGGCCAUCUCUUCGCCCAGGGUCCUUCUGCUUCUACGCUCUCAACUCUCACUCUUGCCUUUUAGCAUCUUUCUUUUUUUCACUUAGAAGUAACUUUGUUAUUUUUCAUUACUGCAAAGCAGCACAUGCUUAUAACAAAAACAUCGGAUGUGUAGACAAAAAACAGAAAAAAUUAGCCCCGCAUCCUCUUUGUGCCAAAGACAGCCAUGGAGACACUGUUGAAGAAUCUUCCAGGUCCCUUUCGAGGCGUUUACUAUCAUACACAUGAAUGUAUAUCAUAUAUCCAUAUGUCGUAUAUACGUCAUUGUGAUGUAACGAUACCACACAUAUUCUUUGAUAAUAUGUGGUGUGUAACGUCUUAUCACAAACAGCCUUUCUAUAACAGCAAACUUUUUUGGGGGGUCUUUUUUUGUCUUUUGGGGGCCGCAACUGUGGCAUACAGAUGUUCCCAGGCUAGGGGUCCAAUCGGAGCUGUAGCCGUCGGCCUACGCCACAGCCACAGCAACAUGGGAUCCGAGCUGCGUCUGCAACCUACACCGCAGCUCAUGGCAACACCGGAUCUUUAACCCACUGAGUGAGGCCAGGGAUGGAACAUGCAUCCUCAUGGAUGCUAGUUGGGUUCGCUAACUGCUGAGCUGCGACGGGAACGCCAGCGAACUUUUUUUUUUUUUAAUGAUGAAGUGAUGCCUCUAAUUAUAGAAGAAAAAACUGAGGCAAAAACGUAAGGUCAUUUACAAAAGCUGAGGCUGCUAAGUCAUUUGGUGUUGGAACUGAAGCUAAGCAGAUCCAGCUCCUGGAAUGCACACGCACCCCGUUUUGGGGGGGCUGUGAGUUCUAUGCGUCUGCAGCGACUGCAAUGUAAGAAUCCCCCGCUACAGAGCUGAUACCGCUAUUUAGUUCCUUAAUCUCAUAGGGUGCCAUGCUUAGGUUGUUUCCAGCUUUUCCCUACCGUAAGCAGCGUCAGGGGACACGCUGCUUCUGGUUUAACCUACUCAGUUGUUUCCUUGCUGUACCAUAUGCGCAUAUAAAAUAUGAAUUUCCCGUAGAAGUCUUGGUAAUGCCAUCACUAAAUAUGCUAGGUUUGGUCGGAACUGUCCUGUAGAUAUUAGUUCAGGCCUGCAGUACAGACGGAGAAGAGAGAAAGCAGCGGAAUGGAGUGUGCGAGUGUGUGUGUUUGUGUGUGUGUCUAGGUGUUGUUGCUGAAGGAGAAAGGGAGGGGACAAGAAGCAAAGAGGAAGAGCAGUUAUUCCUUAUUUAUACAUUGGUUCAACCAGUUUUUAUUGAGCAUCUAUUACAUGCCAGAUACUGUUGAGACCCAGGAGAAUCAGGAGUGAGCCAGAGGACAAAAUUCCCUGUCCUCAUGCAUAUUCAUUAAAAAUGGAAGGUGGCAGAUACCAAGCAUAAAAACUACAUAAUCACACAGUCGGUUAGAAUGUGAUGAGUGCUGCGGAAAGAAUUAAGUCGGGUUCAGAAGAUGGGAGACUCAGGAAACAAUUUUACAGCGAGCCGUCAGGGCGGGUUUGGAAGGGACGCGUGAGUAUAGACUGGAAGGAGGCAAGAGAGCGAGCCCGUGGAUAUCCAGGGAAAGAGCCCCUGUCGGUGGUGCAAAGGCCCUGAGGCACAAGUGUGAGUCCUGGAGGACCAGCGGCAGCCACCCCCAGGCUGCCCCUGGUGCCCUCUGCACUGAUGCUGGCCCCCUGGGAUCCCGAAGAACCCAGGCUUAGGCGCUGGGUUCUGUCUAUGGUGCCGAGAUCGUUCUAUACUAGAUGUUACUUUUUCCUUUCUCUAAAUUUUACCCCUAAUGAUUUUUUUUACCCCCGCCCCCUUUUGGUGGUGCCUGCAGCAUGCAGACAUUCCCUGGGCCAGGGAUCGAAUCUGUACCACAGCAGCGACCCAAGCCGCUGCAGUGACAGUGCUGGACCCUUAACCUGCUGCACCACAAGGGAACUCUCGCCUAAUGGUUAAUUUUGCUCCUUCCGAGAUAAUUCUGUGGCCUGGAAGUUGAUUUAAGGAAAGAAGGGGAGCGGCAUCACUGCAAUAGAAAAAGCAAGAUCGAGACUUGGGGGUCCUUGGGUUCCAAACAGAUCCUGCCGCAUAUUUCGAGCCUUUUGGGCACAGGGCUCUACCUCUCUGGUCUUCCGUGUCCUCAUUUAGAAAUUGCAAAGGGUGUCCUUUGGUGGCUUUGGGGCUGUUCUCGGACUCUGAAGCCAGUAAGAUGGGAAGUGGCGUGGAGUGAUGUCUAGUGAGACGGCAGGGGAGGCCCUGGGACUUCUGCCAGCAGAGGACUCUGGGCACAGGCUAAUAUGUGCCGCCGCCGGUUUUCACGCCUAGACUCGAAGAGCUCGGCUUCACCCUUAAAAUGGAACAUUCCAUCCGAGUCCGUCCAGAAUCCCCGGUGAUAACAGAGGCCACACCGCUGAUGGCGUUCGUCUCCUCGGUUCCUCUGCGCCCUCGAGGCGUCGGCUUCCCCCCUGCGCUGCGCUGCGCGGGUCCUUCAGUCUGCAGGGAGCGUGACCCUGGUGGGGUCUGGGGCUCCUCUUUUUUUCUCUUUGGCCCCAGAGAGUCCCUGCCCGUCUCACUCUCAUCAUCUGGGAUGCCUGGCGUCUUCCCUCCGCUCUGGCGAUGAGGACGUGGGGAGGGGACGGAGUGUGUCAUGGGCAUCCCAUUGUCCCGUGUGGCACAAAAUCACUAUGAAUUUCACAGUGGGACCGUGUGUGAGAGGCUGUGGGGGCAGAGCUAGAGCUGGCAGCCGUUUCCUUUGGGGGGAAGAAGGUUCAACCCGAAUCGAAGCCUUUCCUCUUUCACUUUACGAGGCUGAAUCGCCUUUGCUUUUCGUUACUCUCUUGCUUAUGCCUCAGCGCUUCCUCUGUUUGGUUGGUUGGUUGGUUGCCUUAAAUGACACAUCUUGUUUAGCAUCCUUGGCUGCGUUUAGGGCAGCAGGGCAACAGAGGAGUGGCUUCCAAAACUGGGGUUCUCUUCCUUUCCUGGAGCUUUUUAUUUUAAGUGGGAGCACGGCGCUCGCUCAGCCUUGGGGAGACAUGGACCCAUUCACGUGCCUUCCAUGAACGAUGGGGUCUGAGAUGUUUGGUUUGUUGAACUUCUGAUUUGUCGUCUCUUCCCCAUGGCUUUUAAGAGCAGAGACAAAAAUCCCCCCCUUACUUCUGACCGUUCCUGUGAUGCCCUUUGUCUCCGUCGACUGUUGAGAGAGGAAUUUUAUUUGGAAUAUUCAUAACAAGUCUAUCACUAAUUAUCACUUUAACAGUGUGUUAUGGAGCGUAUCCAUGCAGUCAUCUGGAAAGGCACAUAUGCCAUGAAAUUUGGGAUUUGCUGGGUACCGCGUGUGCCCACUCUGAGUGUUUCAUCAGCUCUUUGCUCCGGGAGGAAGCAGAGGUGCUUUGCAAGGGAGGUUGGAGGAUGGACCUGGCAGCUAAAUGCCUGCGCCUCCCUUUCUGUCCUCAUAGCAACAAUUGCCAGGGUGAGUUGCUUUCUAGUGUAUAAGAAAAGCCUCUUAACUUUCUCACACCGAAGCCUCCCUCUGGAAAGCGACGCAGAUCGGAGCAGAGGCCACCCCGGGUCAACACCCCAAGGGCAGAUCGCAGGCGAAGAGGAGCCUGCGGGCUUCAGUGUCUUCCUCGCACUCUGGCAAGAGGGCGGGGGCUCAGAUCUCGUCCGGUGAGCAGCCCUCGGAAGCAAAGGCAAAGGAGCGUCGCCCUCUCGGGAGAGGUCAAGAAUGCACACGCCACUUUUUCUCCCUCCUUCUGCUCUCUCUUCUCCCGGGAAGGAGAAUGAACUCAUGCUGGGUUCCUUCUUGAGGGUUCUCGGUGGGCCUGAGCUUUGGGAAUGGAGGAUUACGGUAUCGCAGAGGCACGGGAGCUCUUUCCACCAAGACCUCCUGAUGGAAGUGGGUGAAUCAAGCCCCAGGGGCUGCCUGCAAACGAGGCCCAGAGUAAUGGAGCGUAAUGGAGCCAAGCUC
rnacentral:lncRNA from 1 species